AUUGAACGCUGGCGGCAUGCCUUACACAUGCAAGUCGAACGGUAACAGGUCUUCGGAUGCUGACGAGUGGCGAACGGGUGAGUAAUACAUCGGAACGUGCCCAGACGUGGGGGAUAACGAGGCGAAAGCUUUGCUAAUACCGCAUACGAUCUAAGGAUGAAAGCAGGGGACCGCAAGGCCUUGUGCGUUUGGAGCGGCCGAUGGCAGAUUAGGUAGUUGGUGGGAUAAAAGCUUACCAAGCCGACGAUCUGUAGCUGGUCUGAGAGGACGACCAGCCACACUGGGACUGAGACACGGCCCAGACUCCUACGGGAGGCAGCAGUGGGGAAUUUUGGACAAAGGGCGAAAGCCUGAUCCAGCAAUGCCGCGUGCAGGUUGAAGGCCUUCGGGUUGUAAACUGCUUUUGUACGGAACGAAAAGGCUCUGGCUAAUACCUGGGGCACAUGACGGUACCGUAAGAAUAAGCACCGGCUAACUACGUG
rnacentral:rRNA from 1 species